rnacentral:rRNA from 1 species
CCCCUAGACGUUCUGGGCUGCACGCGCGCUACAAUAAUACGCAUAGCGAGUAUCACCGAGCUCGAAAGGGCAAGGUAAACAAUAGAAAAGGUACUGUAAUGGUUAUAGAUCCUUGUAAUUAUUGAUCUUCAACGAGGAAUUCCUAGUAAGUAUGUGUCAUCAUCACGCACUGAUUACGUCCCUGCCCUUUGUACACACCGCCCGUCGCUCCUACCAAUUGGGUGAGCCGAUGAAACUCUCGGAUGUAGGCUAUUCAUAGCCCGCAGAAGAGAUUUGAAUCGUAGCGCUUAGAGGAAGGAGAAGUCGUAACA